GACGAACGCUGGCGGCGUGCUUAACACAUGCAAGUCGAACGGAAAGGCCCUGCUUGUGUGGUGUGCUCGAGUGGCGAACGGGUGAGUAACACUUGAGUAACCUGCCCUUGACUUUGGGAUAACGUCAGGAAACUGGGGCGAAUACCGGAUAGGAGCGCCUGCUUCAGGGUGGGGGUUGGAAAGUUUCGGCGGCUUGGGAUUGACUCGUGGGUUAUGAGCUUGUUGGUGGGGUAGUGGCUUACCAAGGCUUUGACGGGUAGCCGGCCUGAGAGGGUGACCGGCCACCUUGGGACUGGGCUACGGCACAGACUCCUACGGGAGACAGCAGUGGGGAAUAUUGCACAAUGCGCGGAAGCCUGAUGCAGCAACGCCGCGUGCGGGAUGACGGACUUCGGGUUGUAAACCGCUUUCGCCUGUGACGAAGCGUGAGUGACGGUACUGGGUAAAGAAGCACCGGCUAACUACGUG
rnacentral:rRNA from 1 species